AUUGAACGCUGGCGGCAUGCUUUACACAUGCCAGUCGAACGGCAGCGCGGGCUUCGGCCUGGCGGCGAGUGGCGAACGGGUGAGUAAUGCAUCGGAACGUGCCCAGUAGUGGGGGAUAGCCCGGCGAAAGCCGGAUUAAUACCGCAUACGACCUGAGGGUGAAAGCGGAGGACCGAAAGGCCUCGCGCUAUUGGAGCGGCCGAUGUCGGAUUAGCUAGUUGGUGGGGUAAAGGCUUACCAAGGCGACGAUCCGUAGCUGGUCUGAGAGGACGACCAGCCACACUGGGACUGAGACACGGCCCAGACUCCUACGGGAGGCAGCAGUGGGGAAUUUUGGACAAUGGGGGCAACCCUGAUCCAGCCAUGCCGCGUGCGGGAAGAAGGCCUUCGGGUUGUAAACCGCUUUUGUUCGGGAAGAAAUCCUCUGGGCUAAUACCCCGGGGGGAUGACGGUACCGGAAGAAUAAGCACCGGCUAACUACGUG
rnacentral:rRNA from 1 species